UUUUAAUUGGGAUUUGGGGUCCAUUAAUGGGAUUUGGGGUCACUUCAAUGGGAUUUGGGGUCACUUCAAUGGGAUUUGGGGUCCAUUAAUGGGAUUUGGGGUCACUUUAAUGGGAUUUGGGGUCCAUUAAUGGGUUUGGGGUCACUCAAUGGAUUGGGGUGCAAUUAAUGGAUUUGGGGUCACUUCAAUGGGAUUUGGGGUCACUUUAAUGGGAUUUUGGGUCCAUUAAUGGGAUUUGGGGUCACUUUAAUGGGGUUUUGAGCCACAGAAUGGGGUUUUGGGGCACUUUAUUGGGGUUUUGGGGUCACUUUAAUGGGGUUUUGAGUCACAUAAUGGGGUUUUGGGGCACUUUAUUGGGAUUUGGGGUCCAUUAAUGGGAUUUCGAGCCACAGAAUGGGGUUUUGGGGCACUUUAUUGGGGUUUUGGGGUCACUUUAAUGGGGUUUUGAGCCACAUAAUGGGGUUUUGGGGCACUUUAUUGGGGUUUUGGGGUCACUUUAAUGGGGUUUUGGGGCUACGCAAUGGGAUUUGGGGUCAAUUAAUGGGAUUUCGGGGCUACGCAAUGGGAUUUGGGGUCACUUUAAUGGGAUUUGGGGUCACUUUAAUGGGGUUUUGAGUCACAUAAUGGGGUUUUGGGGCACUUUAUUGGGGUUUUGGGGUCACUUUAAUGGGGUUUUGGGUCUCAUCAGUGGGAUUUUGGGUCACUUCAUUGGGAUUUGGGGUACGUUAAUGGGAUUUCGAGCCACGUAAUGGGAUUUUGGGGCUACACAAUGGGAUUUGGGGUACAUUCAUGGGAUUUGGGGGCUACGCAAUGGGAUUUGGGGUGCAUUCAUGGGGUUUUGGGUCUUCUUAGUAGGAUUUUGGGUCUUUUUAGUGGGAUUUUGGGUUGCGUAUAUGGGAUUUCGAGCCACGUAAUGGGGUUCUGGGUCACUUUAUUGGGAUUUUGGGUCUACGCAAUGGGAUUUCGGGUUGUGUUAAUGGGAUUUUCGGUCUAGGAAUGGGGUUUCGGGUCUACGUAAUGGGAUUUUGGGUCUACGGAAUGGGAUUUGGGGUUGUGGUCAUGGGAUUUUGGGCCUACGUAAUGGGAUUUGGUGUGCUACGUAUGGUAUUUCGAGCCACGUAAUGGGAUUUCGAGCCACGUAGUGGGAUUUUGGGUCUUGUUAGUGGGAUUUGGGGUACAUUAAUGGAAUUUCGGGUCUACGUACUGGGAUUUUGGGUCUAUGUAAUGGGAUUUCGAGCCACGUAGUGGGGUUCUGGGUCACUUUAUUGGGAUUUUGGGUCUACGUAAUGGGAUUUCGAGCCACGUAAUGGGAUUUCGAGCCACGUAAUGGGAUUUCGGGUUCUGUUCGUGGGAUUUUGGGUCUACGCAAUGGGAUUUUGAGUCUAUGUAAUGGGAUUUCGAGCCACGUAAUGGGAUUUCGGGUCUACGGAAUGGGAUUUUGGGUCUAUGUAUUGGGAUUUUGGGUCAUGCUAGUGGGAUUCUGGGUCUUGUUAAUGGGAUUUCGAGCCACGGAAUGGGAUUUUGGGUCUCGUUAAUGGGAUUUUGGCCACCUUAAUGGGAUUUCGGGUCUACGUAAUGGGAUUUGGGGUACGUUAAUGGGAUUUCGAGACACAUAAUGGGAUUUUGGGUCUACGUAAUGGGAUUUCGAGCCACGUAAUGGGAUUUUGGGUCUACGUAAUGGGAUUUCGAGUCCCGCUAAUGGGAUUUUGGCUGGGAUCGCCCCCUCUAGGCCCCUAUAGGGCCAGGUAGAGCGUGAUGGGGCAGUGGUCGCUUCCCAUGGCCACGUAAUGGGAUUUUGGGUCUACGUAAUGGGAUUUCGAGCCACGUUAAUGGGAUUUCGGUCCCGCUAAUGGGAUUUUGGCUGGGAUCGCCCCCUCUAGGCCCCUAUAGGGCCAGGUAGAGCGUGAUGGGGCAGUGGUCGCUUCCCAUGGCCGCGGAGCGGAUCUUGGAGUCGCACAGCGCCUCCCGGAGUCGCGUGGAGAGGAGGAAAUAAUCCAACCUCCAGCCCACGUUGCGCUCCCGGGCGCCCCCCAUAUAGGUCCAAAAGGUGUACGCGUUGGGGACGUCGGGGUAAAGGAGGCGGAAGGAAUCCAAAAACCCCCCAUCCAAAAGGGCCCCGAAAGCGUCCCGUUCUUCUUGGGUGAAUCCGGGGGACCUCCGGUUGCUUUUGGGGUUCCUGAGGUCGAUCUCACGGUGGGCCACGUUGAGGUCCCCGCAGAGGACGACGGGUUUUUGGGCGUCCAAACGUUGCAGGAAGGAUUUAAAGGCUCCGUCCCAACGUUGGCGGUAUUGGCAGCGGUGGUGAGAACCCCGGACCGAAAUUUGGGACGUAGGCUGAGACCACGUAGACGGAGGGGAAUUCCGCCGUCAAGACCCGGCCUCGGGCCGUCGUGCUCCUCUAUGC
ensembl:lncRNA